rnacentral:rRNA from 1 species
UUCCGUAGGUGAACCUGCGGWWGGAUCAUUACCUAGAGUUGUAGGCUUUGCCUACCAUCUCUUACCCAUGUCUUUUGAGUACCUUCGUUUCCUCGGCGGGUCCGCCCGCCGAUUGGACAAACUUAAACCCUUUGUAAUUGAAAUCAGCGUCUGAAAAAACAUAAUAGUUACAACUUUCAACAACGGAUCUCUUGGUUCUGGCAUCGAUGAAGAACGCAGCGAAAUGCGAUAAGUAGUGUGAAUUGCAGAAUUCAGUGAAUCAUCGAAUCUUUGAACGCACAUUGCGCCCCUUGGUAUUCCAUGGGGCAUGCCUGUUCGAGCGUCAUUUGUACCUUCAAGCUCUGCUUGGUGUUGGGUGUUUGUCUCGCCUUUGCGUGUAGACUCGCCUUAAAACAAUUGGCAGCCGGCGUAUUGAUUUCGGAGCGCAGUACAUCUCGCGCUUUGCACUCAUAACGACGACGUCCAAAAAGUACUUUUUACACUCUUGACCUCGGAUCAGGUAGGGAUCMCCCRMUGAACUUAAGCAUAUCAAUAAGCGGAGGA